UCCAGACUCCUACGGGAGGCAGCAGUGAGGAAUAUUGGUCAAUGGCCGCAGGGCUGAACCAGCCAAGUCGCGUGAGGGAUGACGGUCCUAUGGAUUGUAAACCUCUUUUGUCAGGGAGCAAAGGGCGCCACGUGUGGCGUUUUGCGAGUACCUGAAGAAAAAGCAUCGGCUAACUCCGUGCCAGCAGCCGCGGUAAUACGGAGGAUGCGAGCGUUAUCCGGAUUUAUUGGGUUUAAAGGGUGCGCAGGCGGAAUGUCAAGUCAGCGGUAAAAUUUCGGGGCUCAACCCCGUCGUGCCGUUGAAACUGAUGUUCUUGAGUGGGCGAGAAGUAUGCGGAAUGCGUGGUGUAGCGGUGAAAUGCAUAGAUAUCACGCAGAACUCCGAUUGCGAAGGCAGCAUACCGGCGCCCGACUGACGCUGAGGCACGAAAGCGUGGGUAUCGAACAGGAUUAGAUACCCCUGUAC
rnacentral:rRNA from 1 species